rnacentral:rRNA from 1 species
CGACGCAACGCGAAGAACCUUACCUGGCCUUGACACGCAGAGACCUUUCCAGAGAUGGAUUGGUGCCUUCGGGAACUCUGACACAGGUGCUGCAUGGCCGUCCGUCAGCUCGUGUCGUGAGAUGUUGGGUUAAGUCCCGUAACGAGCGCAACCCCUAUCCCUAGUUGCUAGCAGUUCGGCUGAGAACUCUAGGGAGACUGCCGGUGACAAACCGGAGGAAGGUGGGGAUGACGUCAGGUCAUCAUGGCCCUUACGGCCAGGGCUACACACGUGCUACAAUGGUGCGCACAGAGGGCUGCAAACCCGCGAGGGGGAGCCAAUCUCACAAAACGCAUCGUAGUCCGGAUCGCAGUCUGCAACUCGACUGCGUGAAGUCGGAAUCGCUAGUAAUCGUGAAUCAGAAUGUCACGGUGAAUACGUUCCCGGGCCUUGUACACACCGCCCGUCACACCAUGGGAGUGGAUUGCACCAGAAGUGGUUAGUCUAACCUUCGGGAGGACGAUCACCACGGUGUGGUUCAUGACUGGGGUGAAGUCGUAACAAGGUA